rnacentral:rRNA from 1 species
CAAUAGCGUAUAUUAAAGUUGUUGCAGUUAAAAGCUCGUAGUUGGAUUUCUGGGAGGGUGCCAAUGUCCGUCGUCGUACGUGUUGCAGCGGCGCCUUCCAUCCUUCUGUUAACGACUUUGGGCAUUCAUUUGCCGGAGUCGGGCUCAGAUAUUUUACCUUGAGAAAAUUAGAGUGUUCAGGCAGGCUAGGCCGGAAUACAUUAGCAUGGAAUAAUGGAAUAGGACUACGGUCUCUUUGUUGGUUUUGAGGGGACUGCAGUAAUGAUUAAUAGGGAUUAGUUGGGGCGUUAGUAUUUAAUUGUCAGAGGUGAAAUUCUUGGAUUUGUUAAAAGACGGACUACUGCGAAAUGCAUUUGCCAAGGAUGUUUUCAUUGAUCAAGAACGAAAGUUAGGGGAUCGAAGACGAUUAGAU